UGUAAGAAUUUAAUAGUCGAACAGACUACCCUUUAAUAGCACCUACACCACAAAAGUAUCUUAAUCCAACAUCGAGGUCGCAAUCUUAUUCAUCGAUAAGAACUCUAAGAAUAAAUUACGCUGUUAUCCCUAAAGUAAUUUAGUCUACUAAUCAAAUAAUUGGAUCAUAAAAAAUCUACUAAUUAAUAUUUUCAUAAUAAGAAGUUUUUCAUAUUCUUUAAUUGCCCCAAUUAAAUACAAAAAUUUAAAAUUAAAAUUAAAUUAAAACAUGUAUAAAACUUUAUAGGGUCUUCUCGUCUUUUACAAUAAUAUAAGUAUCUUCACCUACCUUAAAAGUUCGUAAAUUUUAAAAAAACAGUUAAUCUUUCAUUAAAUCAUUCAUACCAGACUUCAAUUAAAAGACAAUUGAUUAUGCUACCUUUGCACAGUCAAGAUACUGCGGCCAUUCAAAUAAUCAUUGGGCAGAUCGUAUCCCUUAUAAUAAAACAAGGAACA
rnacentral:rRNA from 1 species